rnacentral:rRNA from 1 species
AGAGCGAACGCUGGCGGCAGGCUUAACACAUGCAAGUCGAGCGGGCAUAGCAAUAUGUCAGCGGCAGACGGGUGAGUAACGCGUGGGAACGUACCUUUUGGUUCGGAACAACACAGGGAAACUUGUGCUAAUACCGAAUAAGCCCUUACGGGGAAAGAUUUAUCGCCGAAAGAUCGGCCCGCGUCUGAUUAGCUAGUUGGUGAGGUAAUGGCUCACCAAGGCGACGAUCAGUAGCUGGUCUGAGAGGAUGAUCAGCCACAUUGGGACUGAGACACGGCCCAAACUCCUACGGGAGGCAGCAGUGGGGAAUAUUGGACAAUGGGCGCAAGCCUGAUCCAGCCAUGCCGCGUGAGUGAUGAAGGCCCUAGGGUUGUAAAGCUCUUUUGUGCGGAAGAUAAUGACGGUACCGCAAGAAUAAGCCCGGCUAACUUCGCGCCAGCAGCCGAC